GGAAACGUGCCUGACAAAAGGGCUGUCUUGAUGUGACAAACAUAGAGGCUAACACCCUCUCGGUUCCC
rnacentral:tRNA from 1 species